ensembl:lncRNA
AAACAUUACACUUAUAAAAGUUCCAAAAGAAUAAAGACAUUUAAAUGUCAUGUCUAUAUACAGUGUUGUAAUGAUGUGCAAAUAGUUAAAGUACAAAAGGGAAAUAAUUCAACAUAAAUAUAGGUUGUAUUUGCAAUUGUGUUUGUUCUUCACUGGUUGCCCAAUAGAUAUGGGAGUUUAUCGACAUUAGAUUUGUUUUCAAAUUAUUUAUGGGUCUGUGUAGUCUGAGGGAAAUAUGUGUCUAAUAUGGUCAUACAUUUGGAAGGAGGUUAGGAAGUGCAGCACAGUUUCCACCUCCUUUUGUGGGCAGUGAGCACAUAGCCUGUCUUCUCUUGAGAGCCAGGUCUGCCUACGGCGGCCUUUCUCAAUAGCAAGGCUAUGCUCACUGAGUCUGUACAUAGUCAACGCUUUCCUUAAGUUUGGGUCAGUCACAGUGGUCAGGUGUUCUCUCUCCCCAUGUUCCAUGUAGACAUGCAUUGGAUGAGCGGUUGAAGGAAACCAAUCGGGCUGGGUGCAAGCAGAAACCAUGGGUCCAGCAGGCUGGAUGAAGUGUCCGCUGUGCAGCACUAACAAGCGUUUCCUGCUCAACACCAUUCCACAGCCCUGCCCUGCUGGCCACUCAGGAGUACAGACAUCAAAUAGGCAAGCUCCCACUCGAUAGGCCACACCUUCUAUCAAUCAAACCAUUGCAGCAGACCACGCUCACCUGUCAAGGACACGCCCAGUGGAAGGAGCCACGUGUGACAUCAUAACCUUGGAGGGAGUGCUGUAAUGGUGUUACCCAGAGGAGGUCCCCCCCCCCUCAAAGACAUAAAUAUACCCAUUGAAUGACUGGAAAGAGAGUGUGUUUGUGUUAGAAUGUGAGAAAGACUGGUUGCUGUUGUAAGGUUGUGACAAGUAUUAACUAAUGAAAUUGUCUUUGUUUCUACUGAUCUUUUAACUAGGAGUGUCUUUCCUAUUUCUAUUCCCUAUUUUGACAAACACUUUACCCUGUCUUGCAUUCAGCUCUGUUAAUUCAUUGUCAAUCUCUGGUACAAUCUGUAAACUGACAUUAGUGACAGUAUUAGAGCCUAGUCCUGAGUGCAAGUUGCUGGUAAAACCUUUUGAGAUAAUCAAUCCAGAUCGAGUAACUGAGUUCAGGUUAACGAAGUCAUACCUACAGGGGUACCCAGGGUAGACUGGCUGAGGUUUCGUGUUUUCCAUUUUCCACAGAUGUAAUGUGCCUUAUAAUCCAG